rnacentral:snoRNA from 11 species
UCAUUAUGAGGAAAAUAUAACUGCUCCAGAUACAGGAUUUAAUCCUGUCGGUGAUGGCAGCAAACCUCUAAGAAGUUCUGAGUGA